rnacentral:rRNA from 1 species
UACGUAGGGAGCAAGCGUUGUCCGGAAUCAUUGGGCGUAAAGCGCGCGUAGGCGGCCCGAUAAGUCCGCUGUAAAAGCCCACGGCUCAACUGUUGAAAGCCGGUGGAUACUGUCGGGCUAGAGUACGGAAGAGGCAAGUGGAAUUUCCGGUGUAGCGGUGAAAUGCGUAGAUAUCGGAAGGAACAUCAGUGGCGAAAGCGGCUUCCUGGACCAGUACCGACGUUCAGGCACGAAAGCGUGGGGAGCAAACAGG